AGAACGAACGCUGGCGGCAGGCUUAACACAUGCAAGUCGAACGCAUCCUUCGGGGUGAGUGGCAGACGGGUGAGUAACGCGUGGGAACAUGCCCUUCAGUUCGGAAUAACCCAGGGAAACUUGGGCUAAUACCGGAUACGUGCGAGAGCAGAAAGAUUUAUCGCUGAAGGAGUGGCCCGCGUCUGAUUAGCUAGUUGGUGAGGUAAAGGCUCACCAAGGCGACGAUCAGUAGCUGGUCUGAGAGGAUGAUCAGCCACACUGGGACUGAGACACGGCCCAGACUCCUACGGGAGGCAGCAGUGGGGAAUAUUGGACAAUGGGCGCAAGCCUGAUCCAGCCAUGCCGCGUGAGUGAUGAAGGCCUUAGGGUUGUAAAGCUCUUUCGGCGGGGACGAUAGUGACGGUACCCGCAGAAGAAGCCCCGGCUAACUUCGUGCCAGCAGCCGC
rnacentral:rRNA from 1 species